UAAGCGGGUAGUGAAUUGUGUGGCUCAACCAUACACCCAUUACCUGAACUGGCUAGCUAGAGUGCGAUAGAGGUAACUGGAAUUACUAGUGUAGGAGUGAAAUCCGUAGAUAUUAGUAGGAACACCGAUGGCGUAGGCAGGUUACUGGAUCGCAACUGACACUGAGGCACGAAAGCGUGGGGAGCAAACGGGAUUAGAUACCCCGGUAGUCCACGCCCUAAACUAUGGACGCUA
rnacentral:rRNA from 1 species